ensembl:lncRNA
GGGGGGCAAGGUUUUUUAAAGGGGGCCCCCCCCCCCCCCCCCCCCCCCGAAAGAAGAGGCCGGGUUUGUCCUUCUGACGACGAGUGACAGACGUACAGAGAGCCGAUUCAAAGCAGACAUUUUUUUAAUUCCUUUUUUUUUUUGUGGUUGUGGAUAAAAACCACUGGAGAGGAAAACCUGCGGGCGUUUUUCUUCUUCUUUUCUUUGCUCUCCGCUGAUUUGAGGCGAGAGAGACGGAUCGUUUUUAACCUUUUAAAUCCAGUAACCUGAAGCUGAUAUUCGACCCGACAGAGACUCGCGUUCUCCUGUGCGGUUUUCUUCUCUGCACGGGAGAAAAGAAUGAUUCCUGGAUGACCUGUUCCUUUAUUUAAAGACGUCUCAAAAUGACCGAAAAGAAACCGCCGAAUUAGCGCCACUUACAGAUUUCAGUCCCCUCGUAAAAAGUUCCUUCAGUCGGCCGAGACGUCCACGCGACAGAUUCCUUCAUUUAAAGUUAGACGUUUCUUAUAUAUAUACAUAUGUUAUUGUGCCAAGACGUCGCCCACUUCCUGCAUGGCGACCCUCUGAGCUCUGAUUGGCUGCCGUGUUUGCGCGUCGUAGCGUCUUUAAUCGGCGGGUUCUGCCCCGUUAGCGCGUGAAUGGGGACAAACUGACGUUAAUCGGCGGCGGCGACGACGUGUCUCCGUCUUCUAUUUGUGGAGCUCUGCGGCGUUUCACCACGAGGACGAGUCCCGGGCCGCGGCGUCCGGUCCUGUAAUGGGCUCCGGAAAAAGAACCCGGCUUUAGGGAAGCUCCCCGACAGACCCGCCCCCUUUCCCCGGGUUAAUAAUACGAAGGUUAUGGGGGGGGGGACUUGUAUUCUUCCACGUGCUUCAUUCCACGGGUUGCACGACCAUCUAGCGUGACCAUUUGCGCGUGUGAGGGGCGGGGCAGGAAGCUCCCGACCACAAGAAGACGUCGGUUUGAUUCCCGACUCGGCGCGUGAGAGCCAGAUGUCGGUCUGUUCUUUAUUCCCUGCGGGUGUUGUUGGUUAAAAGGUUGUGGUUUUUUUUUUUCUUUUGCUUGGAAGCCCUGGAAGUAUUGGUGCGUUCGAGGAGGAUUUCAGUUGGGUUUUUUCUGACCGAGCUGGAAGAAGACGUUUGUUACGCUGAGCUACUUAACGGGAAAUAAGGAAGCAACAAACGCACGACUUUCACCCAGGAGACGGAGCAGACGUCCUAACUACGAACUCACCAACAGAUUAUUCACUGACAGUUUAGGAACUUUAAAAAGAGAAAUUUUAAGAUUUAAACCAAAAUGUCGACACGAGGCUCGUCUCUGCUCACUGGUGGACUGAAGGGAGCGCCGACCCACUGAGGGUCCCUCCUGACCCCUGGAGGUCAAAUCAAGCUCUCUGGGUAUUAACGUGUGGAUGAAAGUUGUUAAUGAGUUCCAAUUGUGUGUCUGCGUGUGUCUGCGUGUGUGUCUGGGCAAAUGUAUUUAUAUUUUGAUUGUCCUCAAGCCGUUUUUAAAAUGACAGACAAUAAAUGCUGAAUACACCAGCUUCACCCGUC